rnacentral:lncRNA from 1 species
UUAUGAUUCGAACAAGACUAAUACCAAAAUGAAACGUUGAAAGUAGCCGAAGUUAUAUAAUUUCGGCGAAAGGUAUAUAUGGCUUAUUAAAUAGUGAUACAUUGUUUACAUCGGUUCGAGUAUAUUGUAUAUAGGUAUGGUUAGUUUACAUUGUUCGAGUUUGGCUAGUUUAUAAUUUAUGACUAUUUUACAUUGUUCAAUCACAUAGUAUCUUUCAAGCGGAAUGUUUUGGUGGUAUUUUCGUAUUUCUAUUGCAAAUACUCGCGGAGUUCUUUAGUAUAUGUAAUUGAGUUGACAACCUCCGCCUAUAAAAAAUAGCGGGACUUCGGCAUUAAAAACAGCCGUUCUGAGCCUGCACUGCGCCAAUUAUCCAAUCAGAAACUAGAAUUUCUUGUAUAAAAUAGUAUUGCAUAUCCCGCCAUAUGAAAAUCAGCGGAACACGAGACAUGCGAUUCACGAAUUGCGUGAGUAAGCAAUAAUUGCGUGGAAAUUAGCUAAUUUUGGGUUUCAG